UAGAGAGUUCUAGUUCGGUUUUUCUUCUUUUUUGCUAGACCGUAAAGGACUUCUAAGGUUAUUAGGACUCUGAAUUAAGGUUUUUUAUACCAUAUAUAAAUUAGCAAGUUAGGAAUAAAGGGAAGAUUAAUUCUUUACAUUCAAGCAUAGCAAUUCUACCUAGGAAGAGAUCGUCUGGCAAGAGUUCUAGAGGAGAUUUCCAGCUAAAGUUCCAAAAGUCCAAUGCUGCAAAUUCUUAUUUUAAAUUCUUUUAUUCUAUUUCUUUUGAUGUUUUCUUUGUGUUUUCUUAUUCUAUGUUUAGUUGUAGAAAUCGCCAUGAAUGAGUAGUUUUUUUUAUUCUAGAGUUAGAGAUGUAGCACUUUCAAUUUAGUUAUGGAUUUGAUUUGAUUUUAUUUUAAUAAAUUUGUGUUUGUUGUUUGAUUCAAUCUCAUGUUCUUAAUGCAUGCGAUGUGAUGAGCUCCACUUAGUAUUGAUUCUAGAUAUUAAUUGAAAGACUAAAAGGUGAAGAUUAAUAUUAGAGUAAUAGGAUUUUGAACUUAG
rnacentral:misc_RNA from 1 species